rnacentral:rRNA from 1 species
GCGUCUUAAGCAUGCAAGUCAAACGGGAUGUAGCAAUACAUCUAGUGGCGAACGGGUGAGUAACGCGUGGAUGAUCUACCUACGAGAUGGGGAUAACUAUUAGAAAUAGUAGCUAAUACCGAAUAAAGUCAAUUAAUUUGUUAGUUGAUGAAAGGAAGCCUUUAAAGCUUCGCUUGUAGAUGAGUCUGCGUCUUAUUAGCUAGUUGGUAGGGUAAAUGCCUACCAAGGCGAUGAUAAGUAGCCGGCCUGAGAGGGUGAACGGUCACACUGGAACUGAGAUACGGUCCAGACUCCUACGGGAGGCAGCAGCUAAGAAUCUUCCGCAAUGGGCGAAAGCCUGACGGAGCGACACUGCGUGAAUGAAGAAGGUCGAAAGAUUGUAAAAUUCUUUUAUAAAUGAGGAAUAAGCUUUGUAGGAAAUGACAAAGUGAUGACGUUAAUUUAUGAAUAAGCCCCGGCUAAUUACGUGCCAGCAGCCGCGGUAAUACGUAAGGGGCGAGCGUUGUUCGGGAUUAUUGGGCGUAAAGGGUGAGUAGGCGGAUAUAUAAGUCUAUGCAUAAAAUACCACAGCUCAACUGUGGAACUAUGUUGGAAACUAUAUGUCUAGAGUCUGAUAGAGGAAGUUAGAAUUUCUGGUGUAAGGGUGGAAUCUGUUGAUAUCAGAAAGAAUACCGGAGGCGAAGGCGAACUUCUGGGUCAAGACUGACGCUGAGUCACGAAAGCGUAGGGAGCAAACAGGAUUAGAUACCCUGGUAGUCUACGCUGUAAACGAUGCACACUUGGUGUUAACUAAAAGUUAGUACCGAAGCUAACGUG